UCAGCGUUUAAGGUACUCGGUAA
rnacentral:piRNA from 1 species